UGUUUUGGGCAAGCUGCCCAGCACCGCCACGACACCACCAACAACAACAUCGUCAUCCACCAAACGCCCUGUGCACCACCACGACAUCACUAACCACCACCUGCGUCACCGUCGCCACCACGGUGGCAGCAUCACUUAACCACGCACUCCCUUCCUUUCUCUCGCUACACCCACUCGGCCACUCGCAGCACCAUUCUCUCUCUUCUCGACCCACCUGUGCCGACGCGCCUCCAUCGGAACCAACUCCAUCUUCACUCCGACGAAUCCGACGAAUCCGACGAACAAGCUCACUGCCGCAUCCUCCCUCUCCGGCGACACGCAGCUGUUCCUCUUUUCCCCUGUUUUGUUUUUGCCGCAAGAUUAAGGAAAAAGGGAUAUUACAAGCCUCCCCCGACUAUCAAAGUUACUAAGCAGGAUUUGAGGUAAUGACGGGGAUGACGGAAUGGCGUAGCAGUGAGGAAU